GGCUCAGAACGAACGCUGGCGGCGCGUCUUAAGCAUGCAAGUCGAACGGCAAGAGGUAGCAAUACCUCCUAGAGUGGCGGACUGGUGAGUAACACGUGGGUGACAUACCCUUCAGAUGGGGAUAGCUAUUAGAAAUAGUAGAUAAUACCGAAUACGAGCACAGGGGUUAGAGAUCUGUGAGGAAAGGAGCUAAGGCUCCGCUGAAGGAAUGGCCUGCGGCCCAUUAGCUAGUUGGUGAGGUAAGAGCCCACCAAGGCGAUGAUGGGUAUCCGGCCUUAGAGGGUGAACGGACACAUUGGGACUGAGAUACGGCCCAGACUCCUACGGGAGGCAGCAGCUAAGAAUAUUCCGCAAUGGACGAAAGUCUGACGGAGCGACGCCGCGUGGAUGAAGAAGGCCGGAAGGUUGUAAAAUCCUUUUGAAACUGAAGAAUAAGCGUUGUAGGGAAUGACAGCGUGGUGACCAGUAGGUUUUGAAUAAGCAACGGCUAAUUACGUGCCAGCCGCCGC
rnacentral:rRNA from 1 species